AGCCAUACCUUUAAAAGUAGAAGUAUACAAAUAUGACUUAUACUCACAUACGUCAGGUCAAAGUGCAGCUAAUGAAAGGGUGAUGAUGGGUUACACCCUAAAUAAAGAUACAAAUUAAAGCACUAAAAGCUUUCUGAAGGUGGACUUGGGUGUAAUUUUAAUACAAUAUUAUAAUGAAAUUGAAUCUAAGACAUGCACACAUCGCCCCGUCACUCUCGCCCAAAGGCG
rnacentral:rRNA from 1 species